GCCCUUGUGGUGGAAUUGGUAUACACACAGGUUUCAGGAACCUGGCCGCUUGCGGCAUGUGGGUUCAAAUCCCACCAAGGGCA
rnacentral:tRNA from 1 species